UAAGGGUAUAGCUUAAUGGUAAAGCAGAUGUCUUCAACACAUUGUAUAAUAGUUCAAUUCUAUUUGCCCUUGU
rnacentral:tRNA from 1 species